AAAGCAUUAUUUUCUGUUCUUCUCCCCACUUCCGACGUAUUCUGCGAAAGUUGCUUCUUUUAAAUUCUCCCUUUCCAGAGGCAGAUGCAAGUAAAACACUACUGUUAUUAGACAUCAUGAAAAGGUCACUGGAACCAUAUUUGUAAAUGAAAGAGUGCUACAAGAGAAGCUGGACUCUCAGCCACGGUCUCAGGCAUCAUUAAUUCAAUUGCACAGGUGUAUUGAAUUGAUGUUGGCCACAUCCAUCGUUUGCUGUAAUGACACUUACCAGGCAUUCUCCUGUGAUAUCAUCACAUGAUUCUGCAUGACCAAAGCAUGUA